GUGGUGUUUGGAUUGUCGCUGCCGGCUGGCUCUGUGCUCGUCCACCGAACUGUCGGCACGCAAUCCCCGUCGCUUGCUGUGAGGUCUGAUGGUGCCUCGGAGGCCGGUUCUUGUGCUUCCUACCCGUUCGAAGGAAGCCGAUCGCCCGACAGUUAGCCUCCAUCCGGCGCCCCCAGACGGGCGCAGGAGGACGACGAAGCGCCCCCCGUGUUCCACCGAGCCCCGACCGGUGGCGUGGCCCACGGGGACGUGCGGUGCUCUCGGACCCAGUGCACGCCGCGGACGAGGGAUUCACGUCCCAGUCCGAAGAGAAGCCCCGAUCUCCUGUAUGACCGCCGCGCCCGCCCCGCGACCGCCCCGGCGGCACGGGGUCGACGCGCGGCGUCGCGAAGGAUUGCUACCUGGUUGAUCCUGCCAGUAGUCAUAUGCUUGUCU
rnacentral:misc_RNA from 1 species